UGGCAUAAUCGUAAAAUCCAGCAACUUAGUCCCUCUCUUAUUCCUAGCGAUCAUCCGCAGUCCAGUGAGGUUCCGGAGAAGCAUCAGAUCCGAGCGGCGAAGCUUCUGAGCUUGGGAAGCCGUCAAAUGGUUGGAGUCAAGGAGAGAUUCAUCGGAGGUGGUUGCCGAGAGGGAAUGUGGUGUGCUUGACUAUGAUAUGAGGAGAAUGUUGUUGAUGGUUUCUACGACGUUUACAGCCUUAUCCACAGACUCAGGGAAGCAGGGAGAUAUCCCAAUGCCAUCACUCUGAAGAUCUUGAAAGCAAUCAUGGAGCCCUGUAGUUGUGAAUCAACCCCAUUGAUACUUCCCUAGAUGAGUUGCUACAAAUUGCACUGGAUUGUCCUUCCAGCUGUGUUACAGAGGCUGGUUGAACUUGUCACAGGGCAUAUGGGUGGAUCUUCGGAAGAUUCCAGUGUAGUAUUGACAAGGUGGACUGAGAAAAUCACUAAGUUCAAGGCAGCACUGAACACUUGCGUAUUCUCUUUUGGAUUUGUAUUGGUCUCUUCAUGCAUCGUUGCUCUGCUUUUCAAGAGACCCGAAUCUGCGGCCGUCCUUUGCUCAGCUGACGACCGUAAGUGUUGAAGCCUUUGAACCAGCUCCUGCUUCCUUCACCACGAUAGUUUUCAACUGUGAGUAUAUGAAAGACAGUUAAUCAUACUACCAUGCUUCAUAAGUCUAGAUUUGGGGAAUGUAAAAUGAAAUCAAUUUUCUUUAUGUUUUGGUGUAUUUGUUUGAGGAAAAGCCGCCAUACUGUGCUUACAUUAUUGGGUUAUAAACUGGGUCUCCUUUGCAAUGGCCAAAGCUUUUCCAUCAGUAUCAUCAUUCCAAUAUACUGUUCGAUUAUAAAAUUUAAUAAUAUUGUUUGUUUACCACUA